UACGAAGGGGGCUAGCGUUGCUCGGAUUCACUGGGCGUAAAGCGCACGUAGGCGGAUUGUUAAGUCAGGGGUGAAAUCCUGGAGCUCAACUCCAGAACUGCCUUUGAUACUGGCGAUCUCGAGUCCGGGAGAGGUGAGUGGAACUGCGAGUGUAGAGGUGAAAUUCGUAGAUAUUCGCAAGAACACCAGUGGCGAAGGCGGCUCACUGGCCCGGUACUGACGCUGAGGUGCGAAAGCGUGGGGAGCAAACAGG
rnacentral:rRNA from 1 species